CAAAAUAAUUUAAGGGAACUGGGGGAUUCAAACGGAUCCGAUAAUCGGCAGGGAACCCGAGAGAGACAUCUUUAUCAUCACUCUCCACGGAUCUUGCUUUAACCAUGCAGACAAGCACGUAUGCACAAGUGAUCACAAAAGAUGACAGGUGAAGUUGUGGCUGGUUUGACUCUUUUUGGAUCUUUUCUCUUAGUUUCUUGAUAUCUUCACGAGUUAACUCGAACGUACCUCUUACUAGUAAAUUCACAUCCUCAACAUCGUUGCUUUUCAACAACUUCAGGUUUCUCUUGCUGGGAUCCGCGCUCCACCGGUUCAGUAAAGAGGUUUCUCGGCCGGUGGGGUCUUUGAUGACCCUCCGAUCGAGCAAAGGCGUGAGUUCUUGCGGCAAAGAUGAGUCGACUUGAUCUUGUUUGCAGAUAUAAGCCCAUG
rnacentral:lncRNA from 1 species